GGUCACGUGGUGUUGCUGUAACUGAUAAUGUCUCUGUGCCACCUGCCCAACAGGUCUCCCACCCAGGGGCCUUAGACCUCGUGCUGGGGUUAGAUUGACACCUGCAUUUUGAUCAGGUAAAGACGUCCAACAAACCCACGUCAGAGGUCCUGGGCUUUUACUGUCCCAACAACAGAUAUAGCUCAACAACAGAUAUGUGUCACAGAAUUAAAUGCAGUGCUUUAGUUAGAGCCUUUUCUAGUGAUGGACUAGAACAGACAUGUCAGACUCAGGUCUGGGAGCCAAAUUUGGCCCGUUAUAUAAUAAUAUUUGGCCGAGAUCAUAUCAAAUAUGUAUUAGAGCUGACCUGCGGGCUACAGAUAGGCUAUCAUUUACUUUAUUCUGAAGCCAACGUAUUUAUCAAAGUCAAGUCAGAACCAAGUUUGAAUAAUCAACACUGGUCUUGUAUUCUUGAAUCUGCAGAUGAAAAUGGCACAUCAGAUCAGACGAUCACACGGAGAAACAGAGAACACCAAUUGUAAUGGUCCAAACCUGACUCAUUCAGUCCACAUGAGUCAAAAUAAUAGUAUAUAUAAUAUUAAUAUGAUAAAAACAAUGCCUGAAGAUGAUCACAAUUUCUGUAAUAAUCGUAAACAUGUACAAUAGCUCCCCCGGUGCUUACACCAUCUGCCACCACCACUCUUCUUUACAUUGUAUUCCCAGAGAUGAUCUAACAACUAAAUGAAUGUUGAACCCAAAGAAAUCUAGUGGCUGACUAUCAAACCCCCGCUCACUAGACUCUAGAAGUCACACAAAUAAUCUGUUUUAAUCAUGUGAGCUGCCCUUGUCUGCAUGUGAAUAGGAAAAUAAUCUUAAAUUUACAAAGAUCAGUUUGAAACUCCAGCUUCAACCUUGUUUAUCAGUUGCUGAAAUUGCAGUUUACAGUUAACAAAAAAGUAUAUUUUUCAUGAUGUAAUGUUUUCAUAAAUAAGACAUUUUAAUAGGCAUUUAAAAAAGGGUGUCUUCAAGAGCAAAUGAAUACAGUACUUCUCUUAGUUUCAGCAGUGUUUAUCACUAAGAUUUACAGUUAAACAAAACAAACACAAAUGAAUUAAAAUAAAUUAAGAUGUUUAUUUUUGUACAAAAUGAUGGCUGCAAACAUUUAGUGAGUAAACGGGGCACAGGGUAAAAGGAGCUUUCUCACUUCAGAUCCCGUUUCAAAUUCACUUAAGUCUGAAACAAUUACUGCUUCUAAUGAAUCCCAUUAGUGAACUAAUGCUUGGCUUUUUAAUAAUUGUUUAUAUAUGACCAAUGUUGUCACCGUUUAUAAUAAAACACAUCAACAAUAUGCUACAGUCAAAGAGGACCAGGCAUUUCAUC